GCAAGGCUAAAACUCAAAGGAAUUGACGGGGGCCCGCGCAAGCGGUGGAGCAUGUGGUUUAAUUCGACGCAACGCGAAGAACCUUACCUGGGUUUGACAUCCUUUGACAGUCCCGGAAACGGGAUCUUUCCGACUUUGUCGGAACAGAGUGACAGGUGCUGCAUGGCUGUCGUCAGCUCGUGUCGUGAGAUGUUGGGUUAAGUCCCGCAACGAGCGUAACCCUCGUCUUUAGUUGCCAGUAUUUAGUUAGGCACUCUAAAGAGACUGCCUCGGUUAACGGGGAGGAAGGUGGGGAUGACGUCAAGUCCUCAUGGCCUUUAUACCCAGGGCUACACACGUGCUACAAUGGGCUGUACAAAGGGUAGCUAAUUCGCGAGGAAGCGCUAAUCCCAAAAAGCAGCUCUCAGUUCGGAUUGGAGUCUGCAACUCGACUCCAUGAAGGUGGAAUCGCUAGUAAUCGUGGAUCAGCACGCCACGGUGAAUACGUUCCCGGGCCUUGUACACACCGCCCGUCACACCACGAAAGUCGACUGUACCAGAAGUUGCUGGGCUAACUCCGUUUACGGGGAGGCAGGUACCUAAGGUACGGCCGGUAAUUGGGGUGAAGUCGUAACAAGGUA
rnacentral:rRNA from 1 species